rfam:Salmo salar isolate Sally breed double haploid chromosome ssa25, whole genome shotgun sequence.
UGCAUUCACUACUGUAAGUCGCUCUGGAUAUGAGCGUCUGCUAAAUGACUUAAA